UACAGAGGUCUCAAGCGUUGUUCGGAUUCAUUGGGCGUAAAGAGCUCGUAGGCGGUUCGGCAAGUCGGAUGUGAAAUCUCCACGCUUAACGUGGAGGGGCCAUUCGAAACUGCUGUGACUCGAGUCCGGUAGGGGAGUGUGGAAUUCCCGGUGUAGCGGUGAAAUGCGCAGAUAUCAGGAGGAACACCGGUGGCGAAGGCGGGUCUCUGGGCAGUAACUGACGCCGAGGAGCGAAAGCGUGGGGAGCGAACAGG
rnacentral:rRNA from 1 species